rnacentral:rRNA from 1 species
AUUGAACGCUGGCGGCAGGCCUAACACAUGCAAGUCGAACGAGUGGCGGACGGGUGAGUAAUGUCUGGGAAACUGCCCGAUGGAGGGGGAUAACUACUGGAAACGGUAGCUAAUACCGCAUACCAUCGGAUGUGCCCAGAUGGGAUUAGCUAGUAGGUGGGGUAACGGCUCACCUAGGCGACGAUCCCUAGCUGGUCUGAGAGGAUGACAAGCAACACUGGAACGGAGAAACGGACCAGACUCAUACGGGAGGCAGAAGUGGGGAAUAUUGGAAAAUGGGCUAAAGCAUGAUCCAGACAUGACGCGUGUGUGAAGAAGGUCUUCGGAUUGUAAAGCACUUUAAGUUGGGAGGCGUUACCAACAGAAUAAGCACCGGCUAACUUCGUGCCAGCAGCCGAGGUAAUAC